ensembl:lncRNA
GGCCACUUACACCACACCAGGGUCUGUGGCUCUUGCUCAGGCCACUUACACCACACCAGGGCCUGUGGCUGCUGGCUGAGGCCACCUACACCACACCAGGGCAUUAGUUGCUAUUGAGGCCAAUUACACCACACCAGGGUCUGUGGCUCUUGCUCAGGCCACUUACACCACACCAGGGCCUGUGGCACUGGCUGAGGCCACUUACACCACACCAGGGCCUGUGGCUCUGGCUGAGGCCACUUACACCACACCAGGGCCUGUGGCUCUGGCUGAGGCCACUUACACCACACCAGGGCCUGUGGCUGCUGGCUGAGGCCACUUACACCACACCAGGGCCUGUGGCUGCUAGCUGUGGCCAUGUACAACACACCAGGCCCUGUGCUGGUUCCUGAGGCCAUCUUCAACAAUCCAGGGC